rnacentral:rRNA from 1 species
UACAGAGGUCCCAAGCGUUGUUCGGAUUCACUGGGCGUAAAGGGUGUGUAGGCGGUUUCUUAAGUUUGGUGUGAAAUCUCCCGGCUUAACCGGGAGGGUGCGCCGAAUACUGAGGGACUCGAGUGCGGGAGGGGAGAGUGGAAUUCCUGGUGUAGCGGUGAAAUGCGUAGAUAUCAGGAGGAACACCGGUGGUGUAGACGGCUCUCUGGACCGUAACUGACGCUGAGACACGAAAGCGUGGGUAGCAAACAGG